CCAGUUAAAUAUUAGCUUCUCAAAUAUGCCUUAUAAUUUCAAGCGUGCAAACCAUUGAUAAGAUCAUAUAGUAAUAACGUAACAUUAAACUGUGCCUUUUGCAUCAUUUGGGGAUAGUAAUUAGCCUUCCCUCUACAUUGAUUGCAGAACUUAUGAAAACUGCAAGAAUAUAUGACUCCAGUUUCCUCUCUCAAAUGUUACACAGUUCAUCAGUGCCAAAGCAUCUCAAUCUUUAUCUAGGCGUACAACAUCGAUANN
rnacentral:lncRNA from 1 species